AGGUUGUCCAUAUGGGAUUGCAACCUAGAGAGAAAAACAAGAAAAACAUAAUAAGACAUUAAACAAGAUAUUGUGGAAGAUAUAUAAUUAGCACGAGAUUAGUAGUACUGCCAAAAAAAAGAAAAGCCAGCACCACUGACUUGGAAUAUCAUAGUUUCACAAGUCUGUAGGGCACAAUAACUCUCAAUUCAAAUAAUAUAAAAUGGGAUGCACCAGGUUGAACAGAAGCACAAGUCUUUCUAUACCCUCUCAGCCCUCACUCAAGUCAAAGUCGACUCAUAACCAUUGCUAUUGAGUAGUCAAAACUACACAAUGCCAUUUUUCCCUUUUGGUACUGCGUCCUUGGUCAAAUUUGUCAUAACUAGAAAUGCUGUCAUUGAGUUCUCACUUGGUCUUACUAAGAAGGAUGUGAAGAGCUCACCCCCUGUUUGGCUAAACAAGAGGUGAAUUGGAAACCCAAAAUAGUUACAAUAUUGCACUCAUUGCGAGAGAG
rnacentral:misc_RNA from 1 species